UGCCGAAUGGUGUAAUGGUAGCACGGCUGCCUCUGGAGCAGUCUGUCAUGGUUCGAAUCCAUGUUCGGCAGCCA
rnacentral:tRNA from 1 species